GAUGAACGCUAGCGAUAGGCCUAACACAUGCAAGUCGAGGGGCAUCACAUGAAGUAGCAAUACGGAUGGUGGCGACCGGCGCACGGGUGAGUAACACGUAUGCAACCUGCCUUUCAACAAGGGGAUAACCCGUUGAAAGACGGACUAAUACCCUAUAACACAGGGGUCCCGCAUGGGAAUAUUUGUUAAAGGACAACCGGUUGAAGAUGGGCAUGCGUUCCAUUAGCUAGUUGGCGGGGUAACGGCCCACCAAGGCAACGAUGGAUAGGGGAACUGAGAGGUUUAUCCCCCACACUGGUACUGAGACACGGACCAGACUCCUACGGGAGGCAGCAGUGAGGAAUAUUGGUCAAUGGGCGAGAGCCUGAACCAGCCAAGUCGCGUGCAGGAAGAAUGUCCUAUGGAUUGUAAACUGCUUUUGCAGGGGAAUAAAGUGAGCCACGUGGGUUUUUUGUAUGUACUCUGCGAAU
rnacentral:rRNA from 1 species